GACGAACGCUGGCGGCGUGCUUAACACAUGCAAGUCGAACGGAAAGGCCCUGCUUUGGUGGGGUGCUCGAGUGGCGAACGGGUGAGUAACACGUGAGUAACCUGCCCUUGACUUUGGGAUAACUUCAGGAAACUGGGUCUAAUACCUGAUAUGAGCUCCUGCUGCAUGGUGGGGGUUGGAAAGUUUCGGCGGUUGGGGAUGGACUCGCGGCUUAUCAGCUUGUUGGUGGGGUAGUGGCUUACCAAGGCUUUGACGGGUAGCCGGCCUGUGAGGGUGACCGGCCACAUUGGGACUGCGAUACGGCCCAGACUCCUACGGGAGGCAGCAGUGGGGAAUAUUGCACAAUGGGCGGAAGCCUGAUGAAGCAACGCCGCGUGCGGGAUGACGGCCUUCGGGUUGUAAACCGCUUUCGCCUGUGACGAAGCGUGAGUGACGGUAAUGGGUAAAGAAGCACCGGCUAACUACGUG
rnacentral:rRNA from 1 species